GAGUUUGAUCUUGGCUCAGAUUGAACGCUGGCGGCAUGCCUUACACAUGCAAGUCGAACGGCAGCACGGGAGCUUGCUCCUGGUGGCGAGUGGCGAACGGGUGAGUAAUGCAUCGGAACGUAUCCUGGAGUGGGGGAUAACGUAGCGAAAGUUACGCUAAUACCGCAUAUUCUGUGAGCAGGAAAGCGGGGGACCUUCGGGCCUCGCGCUCUUGGAGCGGCCGAUGUCGGAUUAGCUAGUUGGUGAGGUAAAGGCUCACCAAGGCGACGAUCCGUAGCAGGUCUGAGAGGAUGAUCUGCCACACUGGAACUGAGACACGGUCCAGACUCCUACGGGAGGCAGCAGUGGGAAUUUUGGACAAUGGGGGCAACCCUGAUCCAGCCAUGCCGCGUGAGUGAAGAAGGCCUGG
rnacentral:rRNA from 1 species